rnacentral:rRNA from 1 species
AUGAGGCGCGAGCUGGCGCCUUUUCGCGCGCGCGCAAACGGUUCCUGCGCGCGCGAUUAUCCCGCCACCGCUGGAGCGCGGCAAAACGCCCCGCGCGCGCUAAAAGCUGCGUUUACCCCGCGCGCGCGUCGUUUCGCGCGGUGCACUAAUGCUCCUCGAGCUUCCUCCUUCCCAAGCUGCGAAGCAAGCACCGUACCAAGGACAAGCCAUGAGCUCCCGCCGUCUCCUACUCCUACCACCCUAGUCCUGGUACUGCUGCUACACCUCUACUACGCGCCGCGCUGGGCCUUCUCGCUCUCCUUCAACCUCAACUUCUCCGACCCCAGCGCCGGCUCGUGGGUCGACCUGGACGGCGAUGCAUUCAUCGCUUCGCCAAGGCUCGAGCUGACGAAAAACGUCCUGAGCAGCAUCGGCCGGGCAUCGUUCCGACACAAAGUGCCGCUGUGGAACGGCGCCAUCGGCGAGAUGGCCAGCUUUGCCACCAACUUCUCCUUCCGAAUCAUGCCGGAGAAGGCCGGCCUGAAUGGGACAGGAGGCGACGGGAUGGCCUUCUUCCUUGUGCAUUUCCCUUCGGAGAUCCCGCCCAGCAGCAAAGGCGGCGGCCUCGGCCUCCUCCCGUCCUUCACCAACGGGACGGGCCGCACCCGGGUCGUGGCCGUGGAGUUCGACACUCUCCGCAACUUGCACUAUGCCAUUAACGGCAACCAUGUCGGCAUCAACGUCAGCUCCGUCACCUCCGUGGCGUCCACGGACACGACGACGAGGCCGGGCAGGAACCUCACGUCGUCCUAUGUUAUGGUGGCCAGUGUGAGGUACCAUAACGAGUCCCGGAUGCUGGCCGUUGAUCUCCUCAUCGACUAUGCCUUGUACCAGGUCAAUGCAACCAUCGAUCUCAGCAGAUGCUUACCGGAGGAGGUUGCUGUCGGCUUCUCCGCCGCGACCGGGGACGCCUCCGAGCUGCACCAAAUAUUGUCAUGGUCAUUUAGCUCCACUCUACCUCCUCUUCCGACUAGGAACAACCACAAAAAGUUAGUAAUUAUCCUACUAUCCGUACUAGUCCCAUUUCUCCUUUUAUUAGUGUGUGCGGCCGUGGUGCUAUGGCGGCGCCACAAGAAAAUGAGAACAAAUAAGGACAGCCAAGAACGGUGUGUCAACAGAGCUGACCUCGAGAGAGGUGUGGCUGCCGGCGGUCCCAAACGGUACACCUACCAAGAGCUGGUUGCGGCAAUGAAACACUUCGCCGAGGAGGAGAAGCUCGGGCAAGGCGGCUUCGGUAGCGUUUACCGGGGUCACCUCACGCUCACACCCUCAACCGCCGACCAUAGUGCGGUGGCGGUAAAGAUGUUGUCGGCGGAGCUGUCGGCGCAGGGGAGGAAGGAGUUUGAGGCUGAGGUGAGGAUCAUCAGCAGACUGAAGCAUCGGAACCUUGUGCAACUGUUGGGUUGGUGCGACAGCCGCAAGGGUCUUCUGCUCGUCUACGAGCUCGUCAGAGAGGGCAGCCUAGACAGGCACCUCUACAGCAAGGACGGUAGGUAUCUGACAUGGCCACAGAGGUACAAGAUAAUCCUUGGCUUGGGAUCGGCGCUACACUACCUCCAUGGAGAGUGGGAGCAGUGCAUCGUGCACGGCAACAUUAAGCCCAGCAACAUCAUCCUUGACUCGUCCAUGAGCACCAAGCUCGGUGACUUCGGGUUAGCCCGGCUCGUGGACCACGACACGGGGUUUCUGCAGACUACCAAGGCCGUGCUCGGCACCGUCGGCUACAUCGACCCGGAGUUCGUCAACACGCGUCGGCCGUGCACCGAGUCGGACGUGUACAGCUUUGGUGUUGUCCUCCAGGAGAUCGUAUCCGGCCGGCGGCUAGUGAUGGAGACUGUGGGGAAAUCCUUCACACUGGUAAGGUGGGUGUGGGGCCUGUACGGCAGGGACGUGAUCCUCGACGCGGUGGAUGAGUGGCUGAGGGGUGAUGAGGCCAACGACCGGUGGAUGGUGCUGGUGCUCGUUGUUGGGCUCUGGUGCGCGCACCUGGACCGGAGCAAGCGGCCAUCUGUUGCCCAGGCCAUGCACGUCCUGCAGUCCGACGAGGUGAGGCUACCAGCACUCGCGCUGGACAUGUGGAUUGUGUGA